rnacentral:misc_RNA from 2 species
AACGCACCUUGCGCUCCUUGGUAUUCCGAGGAGCAUGCCUGUUUGAGUGUCAUUAAAUUCUCAAUCUCCUCAUACUAUUUUGUUUGUGGGAGGCUUGGAUUUGGAGUGUUGCUGGCUUUUUUGAAUCAGCUCCUCUUAAAUAUAUCAGCGUGUACCCUUUGUGGAUAGGCUUUUGGUUUGAUAAUUAUCAUAUAUGCCAUUGCCGUGAAGCAAAUGUCAGCUCUCUAAUAGUCCUUCUAGGACAACUUGAUAUUUUGACCUCAAAUCAGGUAGGACUACCCGCUGAACUUAA